rnacentral:rRNA from 1 species
CUUGAACGCUGGCGGCACGCCUUACACAUGCAAGUCGAACGGCAGCACGGGAGCAAUCCUGGUGGCGAGUGGCGAACGGGUGAGUAAUAUAUCGGAACGUGCCCAGUGAUGGGGGAUAGCCCGGCGAAAGCCGGAUUAAUACCGCAUACGACCUACGGGUGAAAGCAGGGGAUCGCAAGACCUUGCGUCAUUGGAGCGGCCGAUAUCAGAUUAGCUUGUUGGNGGGGGUAAAAGCCUACCAAGGCGACGAUCUGUAGCUGGUCUGAGAGGACGACCAGCCACACUGGGACUGAGACACGGCCCAGACUCCUACGGGAGGCAGCAGUGGGGAAUUUUGAACAAUGGGCGCAAGCCUGAUCCAGCCAUGCCGCGUGCGGGAAGAAGGCCU